rnacentral:rRNA from 1 species
UACGUAGGCAGCAAGCGUUGUUCGGAGUUACUGGGCGUAAAGAGCGCGCAGGCGGUUGUGCAAGUCGCGUGUGAAAGCCCCCGGCUCAACUGGGGAGGGUCACGCGAUACUGCUCGACUCGAAGGCAGGAGAGGGAAGUGGAAUUCCCGGUGUAGUGGUGAAAUGCGUAGAUAUCGGGAGGAACACCAGUGGCGAAGGCGACUUCCUGGCCUGUUCUUGACGCUGAGGCGCGAAAGCUAGGGUAGCAAACGGG